rnacentral:rRNA from 1 species
GAUGAACGCUGGCGGCGUGCCUAAUACAUGCAAGUCGAACGAGGUGCUUUUGUAGCAAUACGAGAGUAUCCUAGUGGCGAACGGGUGAGUAACGCGUUGGUGACCUACCCCAAAGUGUGGGAUAACAGUCCGAAAGGAUUGCUAAUACCGCAUGUGGUCUUCGGGUUUAGAAACUGAUGACUAAAGGAGCAAUUCGCUUUGGGAGGGACCUGCGUCCCAUCAGCUAGUUGGUGAGGUAAUGGCUCACCAAGGCUACGACGGGUAGGGGACCUGAGAGGGUGACCCCCCACAAUCGAACUGAAACACGGUCCAUACACCUACGGGUGGCAGCAGUAGGGAAUAUUGCACAAUGGGCGAAAGCCUGAUGCAGCAACGCCGCGUGUGCGAUGAAGGCCUUCGGGUCGGUAAAGACACUUUUCUUGGGAGGAUGAGCAAGGACAGUAUCUCAGGAAUAAG